UACGUAGGGGGCGAGCGUUGUCCGGAAUCACUGGGCGUAAAGGGUUCGCAGGCGGAUAAACAAGUCAAGAGUAAAAGGCAUGGGCUUAACCCAUGUAAGCUAUUGAAACUGUUUAUCUUGAGAUGUGGAGAGGUAAGUGGAAUUACUAGUGUAGCGGUGAAAUGCGUAGAUAUUAGUAGGAAUACCAGUAGCGAAGGCGACUUACUGGACACAAACUGACGCUGAGGAACGAAAGCGUGGGUAGCAAACAGG
rnacentral:rRNA from 1 species